UGUUCUUUCUUAUGAUCCAACUAAACAUCCAGGUCCACCAUUUUAUGUUCCACAUGCUGAAAUUGAAAGGUUGUUUGGUAAAAUAUGCAAUAUACAUUGUCUUGAGAAGGUUGAUGCUUUUGAAGAAUGACAUAAAAAUUGGGGGAUUGACUAUCUUUCUGAAAAGUUAUAUCUACUUACAGAAAAGUAAAUGAGACAUAGAUAAAAUCACAUUGACAUGUUUUUGAGGAAUUGAAAAUUAUGCUAAAGCCUGAAAAUGUAAUGGAUGAAUUUUUUAAAUUGUUUAUAAAUCACAUGAUAGAUCUAUACUAAAAAUGGCUUUUUAGUAAAGCUGUUUACUUUUUCUAAAAAAGUUUUAGGAGAAAAAGAUGUAACUAAACUUUUCAAGUAGCUCCUUUGGAGAGGAGAUUAUGAUGUGAAAGAUUAUGCCUGUGUGUCUUACAGAUUGCAAGAUAUUUUAUCAAUCAGUGUGUGUUACCUGUACAAUUAAAAAAAUAUUUUAAAAUGCAAUGCAUAUUAAACAUAAUACACACAGAAAAACUGGCAUUUAUUUUAUUUUUUUGAGAUGGAGUUUCGUUCUCGUUGCCCAACCUGGAGUGCAAUGGCACAAUCUCAGCUCACUGCAACCUCUGCCUCCCAGGUUCAAGUGAUUCUCCUGCCUCAGCCUCCCAAGUAGCUGAGAUUACAGGUGUGCGCCACCAUGCCCAGCUAAUUUUUUGUAUUUUUAGUAGAGACAGGGUUUCACCAUGUUGGUCAGGCUGGUCUCGAACUCCAGACCUCAGGUGAUCUACCCACCUCAGCCUCCCAAAGUGCUGGGAUUACAGGCGUGAGCCACUGUGCCUGGCCUGACAUUCUUUAUGAAAUUUAGAAUUGUUGAAAAAAAUAUAACACUUCAGUAGGGUUCAAGGUGGUCCCAAAAGUUAUAUAAAAGAUUAGUUUUUACUAUAAACCCUUGUCUUUUACUCAGAUCCUAGCAUCCCUUUUCACAUGGUUUCUCCAUAUAUGUAACAGAAUCAAGAAACAAAUUUUAAUUAAACAAUCUGUAACAGAAUCAAGAAACAAAUAAAUUUUAAUUAAACAAUCUAUAUGGAACAAACAUUCCCAAAUUCUAAGAAUAAAUUUUUCUUUAAGUU
rnacentral:lncRNA from 1 species